rnacentral:rRNA from 1 species
UACGGGGGGAGCAAGCGUUGUUCGGAUUUACUGGGCGUAAAGGGCGCGUAGGCGGUCACGACAAGUCAGUUGUGAAAUCUCCGGGCUUAACUCGGAACGGUCAACUGAUACUGUCGGACUAGAGUGCAGAAGGGGCAACUGGAAUUCUCGGUGUAGCGGUGAAAUGCGUAGAUAUCGAGAGGAACACCUGCGGCGAAGGCGGGUUGCUGGGCUGACACUGACGCUGAGGAGCGAAAGCUGGGGGAGCAAACAGG